AAUGCGUACUUCAAGCGUGCAUACCCUGAAUUGGGACACAGCCUCAGGCUCAGAUGACAUUUAAUGACAUGCAAUAAAGGGGAGAUAAAGGUCUGAACCUGAAGUUGUAGGAAAGGAAAAAGUUCAUGGCAAUAUCAAAACUAGAGAAGGAGUCUGUCUCCUGAACCCAAACUGGGAAUCGGUGCCACAGGUUCUUUGAACUUUGACCUUUAAGCUGCGUGGAGGGAGUUUCAUGACUGAACUAAGAUGAUGAAUUUUGGAUGACCCCGCUGAGCAAAAGAGAAAUAAAAAUGGAGAACCAGGUGGUGGGCGUGGCCUGCUAGCGUGCUGACACGCUAACACCAACAACAGAUAGUCGGAAAACUUUCAUCUCUCAAGUGAAACGAAAUAAAAAUGAUGGAAGAGGUGAAAGAGCUGCUCUCUAAAGAUUUCAACCACCUGUUCAGCGGGAUGAAGAGGGGACAGUGAAACGCACAGUUGACAAGUUUUCCAUCCACCUCGGUGGCUUGACUGGACGCCUGCGUACCCCAGCCGAAUAACUGCUGAGGGAGGGUUUUGUUCCUGUCUGUGAAUCCUUCAGGCCGUCGUCGGGGAAUGUGGAGACAUGUUUGGAUUGAGGCAUAAUUCGGAGUAACAGCUUCAUCUGAUACUGACGGUAUUCAUUGUCGCUAUCUUCCCACCAUCCGAGAGGCAGACAGCGACAAUGACUGGUGGUUUCCAGGUAUUUUUGGCAUUCAUCAGAAGAGGCGGUCCCUCAUCCUGGUUUACGAAAGUUUCAACUAAUCAGUGAUUACAAAAGAAAAGACUCAGAGCCGACCACUGAUGUGAUCCCACUUCCACAUCACCCUCGUUUAUGAAAAUCUGGACCAGUACACUUCUUUAAUAAAGUGAACUAACUAACUAAUCCUCCUGCAGCUCCAUAACUCCACAGGCUUCUAUAAGCAAAAGGUAAAAUUCUGCAUGCAACACACGAUACCAGAGAUGCCUGGCCACUACUGUAGCAUGUUCGUGCCUUCCCAGACCAUCCAUGGAAACUGGAUGGAAAAACAAACCCACAAAGACUUCUAUGCCCUGCUUCUGACAUUAGAGUGCAAGCGGAGUCCUUGAGGACCGAUGGGAGUAAUUUUGCACAAAUGUUAAUGGAGAGUGAGAGAGGAUGUUCCUCUGUGGUUCCCAAAUUUACAGUCCAAUGCCGGGAAUACUCAGAGGAGGGGAGGACACCAGCAGGCCACAGAGGAGGUCAGGGAUUAUGUCAUCAUCUCUGUGUGUUUGUGUUACUAUAGUCACACCCUUCUCCGUCUCUCUCCCUCUCUAUAUCCCAGGCACACGCCGCGAAUUACAUAAUGCGUCCCCACCCCUGCGCUGCUGUAGAGCAAAACAAAGGCACCCUGCCAGCAGAAACACAGCAACCGAGGCACACGAGGAGAGGGUAGAGCGUUUGUUUAUCUGCACAUCUUUAACAAAAUGGUAGAUAGAGAGAGAGCAAAGACAGAGGUACGCAUUUGUUUACAUAUAAAUGACCACGUGAACGUCCUUGGCAUCCAAAGGCAAAGGAAUCGCUGUGUUUUCCUGGCAACGAAGGCGGCACGGUAUUUCUCCAAACAGAGAGGAUCCCGAAGCUUCCCUCAGAGUCAUGGCUACCACGGCUCACCCUCACGGCUUCCUCGUGUAAAUAUCUGUGCUGCUGCAAACCAAUUUGAGAUAAUAAAUGCUUAUUUUAGUGGUCGGGAGGUUCCGAGGUAGACUACAGAGAGCAUAUGCUUCAUAGUCUACACAGCGUGACAUACAUAUGUCUCGUAUUAGAGCGCGCUGGCAAACCAGGGCCUAAGUGAUUACUGCCCACCAAAAAUCUUAUUAGUGGUUGUGUAUGUUGGGAGAGCAGAGUGUAAGCUAUCAUAGAGCAGUUUCUUCUUCUUACAUAACAAGCCGCAAACACGACCCCCUCACGCUGAAUGACACCCAUGAAGUCGAGCUCUGGAGCGUGGAAAAGACCAGGAAACCCCAGCGUGGGUGAGCGGAAAGGGGCGAGGCAGCACUACCCUCAAUAAGGACGAGAAAAAUAUCCCACUCAGAGCGCCCGAAAUAUUAAACAAGCAGGGAAUUAUUACGGGGUUGCUCAUAUUUGCCUCAUUAUGGCUUCUGGGGUUGCUGAGGUAGUGUGGGUGAGGGCUGCAUAUUUCACUUCGGAGCUUUGCGACCAUCCCAGUGCCAUGUAAAAGAAAAAAAUGGUGUAAUUGUUCCAUAACCGCAGGAAAAACAGCACAAAGGAAUCCAUACAAAAUUUUACUGGUGAUGAAAAGCAGAGCGCUGCAUUGUGUAACAUGACCACAAAAUUUGAAGGAAGCGAGCAAAACAAAAAAAAACAACACAGUUUGAGGACAUUAAAGUCAGACAGAGCCACUUAUAGCUCAACUGCUUACAAGUGUGGGUUUAAACAAAGCAUAGAAGGGAAGAAAAACUAUUUGUAGGAUCCUUGAACUGCUUUUUAAAAACACUGUGCUGUACAUACUCCAACUCUUUUGUCUCCUUCUAACCAUUAAACACAAAAAAAAUGAUCAUCGCCCUUGCAAAGCACAUUGGGCUGCUGCCCUGGGAGUUUGGUGAGCUUAAGUAGACUGUACUGUAAGCAAGAGGCUUUAAUAAUUUAGUGGACCAUGGAUCGAUAUGUAACUUAAACAUGCAGUGGUAAUACUUUGUCUUACUUAAAUCACAAAGGAGUCUGAUGUGCAGCUGAUGACUGUAAAGAGAUGUACAGGUUGUUCUGUUCUCCUACAAACGCGGAUCUUUGAGCCGGGAAAUAAAACAACAGGACAGCAGCGAAACGCAGAUGGAGGUUCGCCCUCGCUCUCGAGGGUGCCGACUCCUGAUCUUUGAUCUAUAAAACGUGAUAUCUCAGGCUAUGAUCAGGCUGGGAGAGGCCUGAGUGGGCGGGUGCAUGUCAAUUAGGCUGGGGUUAGUGGGCGAGGGAGUCAGUCUCCUCUCUGGUUGCUGUCAUGACAACCACGAAUCCUUAAUGCCCCCCCGCUCGACAUCUUCCAGCCCACUCCUCUCUCUGUGCUGUCUACGAUGACUGGGAAAUAUGAUUACCGUUACCCCAAGGGGCGAAGAUGACGUAACUGCAAAGAAAACGAUCACACUUUUCGAUCCCAGCGCCCACCUGAUGUGAGUUUACGACCUUACACUUAUGGUGGGGGGGAGGAGUGUUGGGUAGGAGGGGAAGCCCAUCCGAACAGGUUGAGCUGCAGAUCUAAACAUGAUCUAAACUUCUAAAAAAACCCAACCUAUGUCAAACUAGAUCCCCACUCUUCUAAUGGGUAAUAAUAAUAUUACAUUUCAGCCUACAUCAGCCAUCAGUGAGCAGCAUCACAACUGCAUCUCCCUGGCACUGGAUCCCCGCUGAGAGUCCCUCUGCCUGUUGGCCAACAAAUAACCACCAGGCUCAUACACCCUCCUCCCGUCACUGCCAGCUUGUAAAACAUUCAUAUUUUACUCAACAGCCUUCCCUGCUGGGCCUCGCUGAGCCAAAUGGCGGCCAUCGACAGCACUGUGGCAGCGUUUCAUGGCAGCCAUAUGCACAGCAUUCACGUGUUUCAGAUGGCCCCAACAGUUUGGCUUCAGCUUCCCCUGUUAUAGCAUCAAAGAUGUGUGCGUGUGGGGAGGGGGAUGAUUGUUUUUCACAAAAACAGCAUCUGCGACGGGUUUGAGGUGUCAUCAGUAUGCGCGACACUACACCAGCACGCCAACGAGAAGCCCGAAAAAUGCUGCUGGACCACAGUUUGAGCCGUUUUUUAAAUCAUGUCUGCGGUACCGAAUUAGAACAAAUGCUGUGGAAAAGGUGUCGUGUCCGUGAUAGUUUGGUCCAGACAGGUGGACUGAAGUGCCUGAAGCUGAUGUGUGGAUGAUAGCAGGAAGCAGGAGGACGGUGGCGCUGAUUGCUGGAUCAAACGGGAGAGAGGAGAGGAAGAGGAGAAGGAGAGCGGAGAUGACAAGAUGGGUUUCGGCAGCUGGCCCCCUCUUCGCUGUCACUGCGCGGGAGGGAGUUUGGGAUUAUGUAACUCGAGCACCUCCACCAGCCUGCCGUACCCUCCCGGCUCUGUGCAAACACUCACUCACACGCUACCAUCAAACGCCCAUCAAAGACACCCUCACACUGGCUGAUGCAUGCGCUCACUCACAGACGAGGACAUUUUCCAA